rnacentral:rRNA from 1 species
ACAGGCCUAACACAUGCAAGUCAGGGGCAGCACAAGGAGCAAUCUGAGGUGGCGACCGGCGCACGGGUGAGUAACACGUAUGCAACCUGCCUGUAAGCGGGGAAUAACCCGUUGAAAGACGGACUAAUACCGCAUAAUACUAAAUUACUGCAUGGUAAUUUAUUUAAACAUUUAUGGCUUACAGAUGGGCAUGCGCAUGAUUAGCUAGUUGGAGAGGUAACGGCUCCCCAAGGCAACGAUCAUUAGGGGUUCUGAGAGGAGGGUCCCCCACACUGGUACUGAGACACGGACCAGACUCCUACGGGAGGCAGCAGUGAGGAAUAUUGGUCAAUGGACGAGAGUCUGAACCAGCCAAGUCGCGUGCAGGAAGAAUGUCCUAUGGAUUGUAAACUGCUUUUGCAGGGGAAUAAAGUGCAUCACGUGUGAUGUUUUGUAUGUACUCUGCGAAUAAGGAUCGGCUAACUCCGUGCCAGCAGCAGC